rnacentral:lncRNA from 1 species
UGAGUUCAAGGAGGCUUGAGGAGAUCCAGUCUGAUGUUUCCUGUAAUCUCAGCUCUUAACCACCAGGAGGUGCUUUGCAAAAGCUAACUUUGCUCAUCCCAGCAAAUUAAAGUGAAGGACUGACAAGAGACCAGGACUCAGAAAUCCUGGCAAUCCUUUCAGACCCCAAAUGUUUCCCUUGAAGAAUUAACUCCCUUGCUCUUGUGCUUUGGGUUCUUCUCCCUGCCGUAGGCUUAGCGGGUCUGACUCUGCCCUACCCUGCCCCCUCUGAGGUGGUCAGUAACACCCCAGACAGCUCUGAGCUUCAGGUUUUCCCCUGCCGCUGCUCCUUGCUAGAAUUCGCAUCAACAGAGGGUGCUAGAACUUCAAAGGCCAAGCACAGGCGGAGCCAGUUCCCUCAGGGUCCCCUUUGUUGAGGGUGAAAGCCAGGUCCAAGCCUCUUGUCAGGACUCUAGCCCACAGACAGCUCCCUCCACAGUUCUCAGGAGCUCUGGCAGCAGGGGGCUAUUUGGCCACUGUUGCUGCUGCUUGGCUCAGUCUUACUGAGGAAACCUUCUGGACAAAGCACAGGGAGAGCAUCUGGCUCCUGCCCACCUGGGGCUGGGGGAAUGCGCAGUCAAAACAACCAAUUGGAAUGGGAAUUGAAAAUGGGAAAAGAAGAUGCGGUGCCAAGAUGAGGAGAAAUUUGGGCUGGACACCUGAAAAAAGUCCCUUCCAUGGAGCUGAAGCUUCUUUGCCAUCAAACAGGUGAGGUGUUCCUUGGGUACAUUGUAGUCUUGCUGAAGUGGCUAUCAUAGACCCAGUGAUUCUG